UACGUAGGGUGCAAGCGUUAAUCGGAAUUACUGGGCGUAAAGCGUGCGCAGGCGGCUUUGCAAGACAGAUGUGAAAUCCCCGGGCUCAACCUGGGAACUGCAUUUGUGACUGCAUCGCUGGAGUACGGCAGAGGGGGAUGGAAUUCCGCGUGUAGCAGUGAAAUGCGUAGAUAUGCGGAGGAACACCGAUGGCGAAGGCAAUCCCCUGGGCCUGUACUGACGCUCAUGCACGAAAGCGUGGGGAGCGAACCGG
rnacentral:rRNA from 1 species